rnacentral:other from 18 species
UGAAUCCCUCGUUAGGUGAGGCUCCUGCAGUGGAGACAUGCUGAUGCCCAACAACGUCCAAAGACGCCAAUGGGUUGAACAGGAACCAUCGACAUAAGGUGGUUUUUAACGCAGCUGAGCGCCGCUCUAUGCCCUGCAGUGCUAAAGCUCAACGAAUGGAGGAAAAA